rnacentral:lncRNA from 1 species
AUGGACUGUGUCUUCACACUUUUGUCUUGACAGAGCAGAACACAAGCAGAGGAGGAUGUCAUUCAGAAGGGCAAGUCAGUACUGUUUGUUUUCAGAUGAACUAGAUGAUUACUGCAAAAUAUUGCAAGUGUCUGUGCAUUGAAAUAAGACUGAAAAUACUGUAUGUGCAUGACUCAGGUGGAAGAGGUUAGGAGGCAGAUUGAUAAAAUAUAAUCUGAAGUGGAUGAGGUGAGGAAGAGGCACAGCAUGAUCCUGUCUGCACCCAAUCCAGAUCAGACACACAGUGCUCUCCAGGAAGUUUGUGGAUGUCAUGACUCAGUACAACGAGACUCAAGUGUCGUUUAGGGAGAGAAGCAAUUGAAGGAU